rnacentral:rRNA from 1 species
UACAGAGGUCCCAAGCGUUGUUCGGAUUCACUGGGCGUAAAGGGUGCGUAGGUGGCUGGGUAAGUUUGAUGUGAAAUCUCCGGGCUUAACCCGGAAAUGGCAUUGAAUACUAUUCGGCUAGAGGUUUGGAGGGGGACUGGAAUUCUCGGUGUAGCAGUGAAAUGCGUAGAUAUCAGGAGGAACACCGGUGGCGAAGGCGGUUCUCUGGGCAUUACCUGACGCUGAGGAGCGAAAGUGUGGGGAGCGAACAGG